rnacentral:rRNA from 1 species
AUACAUAGGGGGCAAGCGUUAUCCGGAAUUAUUGGGCGUAAAGCGUGCGUAGGCGGUUUAUUAAGUCUGAUGUUAAAUCCCACAGCUCAACUGUGGGCUGCCAUUGGAAACUGGUAGACUUGAGUGCGGUAGAGGUAAGUGGAAUUCCAAGUGGAGCGGUGGAAUGCGUAGAUAUUUGGAGGAACACCAGUGGCGAAGGCGGCUUACUGGGCCGUUACUGACGCUGAGGCACGAAAGCGUGGGGAGCAAACAGGAUUAGAUACCCUGGUAGUCCACGCUGUAAACGAUGACAACUAAAUAUUGCCGCGAGGCAGUGUUGAAGCUAACGCAUUAAGUUGUCCGCCUGGGGAGUACGGUCGCGAGACUGAAACUUAAAGGAAUUGACGGGG